CCUUAGAGUUUGAUCCUGGCUCAGAACGAACGCUGGCGGCAGGCUUAACACAUGCAAGUCGAACGCCCCUUUCGGGGGGAGUGGCAGACGGGUGAGUAACACGUGGGAACGUACCUCUUUGUUCGGAAUAACUCAUGGAAACGUGAGCUAAUACCGGAUACGCCCUUUUGGGGAAAGAUUUAUCGCAGAGAGAUCGGCCCGCGUCUGAUUAGCUAGUUGGUGAGGUAAUGGCUCACCAAGGCGACGAUCAGUAGCUGGUCUGAGAGGAUGAUCAGCCACACUGGGACUGAGACACGGCCCAGACUCCUACGGGAGGCAGCAGUGGGGAAUAUUGGACAAUGGGGGCAACCCUGAUCCAGCCAUGCCGCGUGAGUGAUGAAGGCCUUAGGGUUGUAAAGCUCUUUUAUCCGGGAAGAUAAUGACUGUACCGGAAGAAUAAGCCCCGGCUAACUUCGUGCCAGCAGCCGCGGUAAUACGAAGGGGGCUAGCGUUGUUCGGAAUCACUGGGCGUAAAGGGCGCGUAGGCGGACGAUUAAGUCAGGGGUGAAGUCCCGGGGCUCAACCUCGGAAUUGCCCUUGAUACUGGUUGUCUUGAGAUUGGAAGAGGUAAGUGGAAUUGCGAGUGUAGAGGUGAAAUUCGUAGAUAUUCGCAAGAACACCGGUGGCGAAGGCGACUUACUGGUCCAUAUCUGACGCUGAGGCGCGAAAGCGUGGGGAGCAAACAGGAUUAGAUACCCUGGUAGUCCACGCCGUAAACGAUGGAUGCCAGCUGUUGGGGAGCAUGCUCUUCAGUGGCGCAGUCAACACAUUAAGCAUCCCGCCUGGGGAGUACGGUCGCAAGAUUAAAACUCAAAGGAAUUGACGAGGACCCGCACAAGCGGUGGAUGAUGUGGAUUAAUUCGAUGCAACGCGAAAAACCUUACCUACCCUUGACAUGUCUGGAAUGCCGAAGAGAUUUGGCAGUGCUCGCAAGAGAACCGGAACACGGGUGCUGCAUGGCUGUCGUCAGCUCGUGUCGUGAGAUGUUGGGUUAAGUCCCGCAACGAGCGCAACCCUUGUCAUUAGUUGCUACGCAAGAGCACUCUAAUGAGACUGCCGGUGACAAACCGGAGGAAGGUGGGGAUGACGUCAAGUCCUCAUGGCCCUUAUGGGUAGGGCUUCACACGUCAUACAAUGGUCGGGACAGAGGGUCGCCAACCCGCGAGGGGGAGCCAAUCUCAGAAACCCGAUCGUAGUCCGGAUCGCAGUCUGCAACUCGACUGCGUGAAGUCGGAAUCGCUAGUAAUCGCGGAUCAGAAUGUCGCGGUGAAUACGUUCCCGGGUCUUGCACUCACCGCCCGUCA
rnacentral:rRNA from 1 species